ACAUGCAAGUCGAACGAGCUUCCGUUGAAUGACGUGCUGCACUGAUUUCAACAAUGAAGCGAGUGGCGAACUGGUGAGUAACACGUGGGGAAUCUGCCCAGAAGCAGGGGAUAACACUUGGAAACAGGUGCUAAUACCGUAUAACAACAAAAUCCGCAUGGAUUUUGUUUGAAAGGUGGCUUCGGCUAUCACUUCUGGAUGAUCCCGCGGCGUAUUAGUUAGUUGGUGAGGUAAAGGCCCACCAAGACGAUGAUACGUAGCCGACCUGAGAGGGUAAUCGGCCACAUUGGGACUGAGACACGGCCCAAACUCCUACGGGAGGCAGCAGUAGGGAAUCUUCCACAAUGGACGAAAGUCUGAUGGAGCAAUGCCGCGUGAGUGAAGAAGGGUUUCGGCUCGUAAAACUCUGUUGUUAAAGAAGAACACCUUUGAGAGUAACUGUUCAAGGGUUGACGGUAUUUAACCAGAAAGCCACGGCUAACUACGUGCCAGCAGCCGCGGUAAUACGUAGGUGGCAAGCGUUGUCCGGAUUUAUUGGGCGUAAAGCGAGCGCAGGCGGUUUUUUAAGUCUGAUGUGAAAGCCUUCGGCUUAACCGGAGAAGUGCAUCGGAAACUGGGAGACUUGAGUGCAGAAGAGGACAGUGGAACUCCAUGUGUAGCGGUGGAAUGCGUAGAUAUAUGGAAGAACACCAGUGGCGAAGGCGGCUGUCUAGUCUGUAACUGACGC
rnacentral:rRNA from 2 species